AUGAAACUUAGAUGAACUCCAACAUUUUAAAUUGUAAAGGAUCAGAAAAAAGAUUGAGAGAGUGAAGUGUUACAGAAGUCAAGGGAAGUUAGAAUUUCAAAAAAGGUGAGUGGUCCUAGGAACUAGGUAGAGAUGAGAAUUCAAUAAAGAUGAGGACUAAAUAUUGUUUAUUGCAUUUGUCAUUUUAAUGGUGGUUACAAGCAGUUUCAGAGGAGCUGAGGGUUAGAAGGUCGCUUGUAGUUUGCAGUUUGAGCAGAUAACUACCUUGACAGAGAAAAUGGGGUUGAUGGCUAGGGGGAACAUGGAGCAAGGUUAGGGGUUUUAGUUUACUUUUGAAAAUAAUAAUGAUCAUUUAUUAAAUACCUUCCAUCUCUAUAUACUGUACUGUGUGGGUGCUUUUACAUACAUUAUUUUACUCUAAAUUGGGUACUAACUUUCUGUUUACUGUGAGGUUAAAUAACUUACUCAAGCUUAGUAUUAAACAGUGCAGCAAGGUUUGAAACCUGUCUUUCUGACUUUAUAUUUUUUUUUUGUACACCACACUGCCCCAGAUUCAAGAAACUUGAGCUUCUCAGACAUAACAGCAC
rnacentral:lncRNA from 1 species